GGUGGGUGGUGAGAGCUGAGUGGAGGUAAUCUUGAGAGGACCGUUGAGAGCUCGCUGAGGGGAUGGAGAGGGGUGCGCUGGUGCUGCACACUCAAUGCGGCAUUAAUAGCUGUGGUAAUCGCUCCAUACCUGCAUCUGAAGGCAAAGUUACGCUGAAUUACCCCGAACAGACUCUGAUGUGUCCCGCUUAGCUUGGAGAGCGAUUUCUGUGUGGAGAUCCAUAUCCGCACUCCAGAGAAGGUGGUGGCUCUGGCGCUGAUGAUGGGGCGGUAGCGGAUCCCUCCCUCUGAUUGCCUGCUGUAAGAUACUUCUACCGGGUACGCCUUCAGGGAAGUGGCUUUGAGGUGACUGACAUUCAUAGGCGGAGAAUCUGCCGGACAGUAUGUACUGUAAGUGUGUGAACACCCAGGGAAGUAUGGGAAGCAGCUGCAGGCAGUCCAUACAAGGCCAGAGGUGGGCUUACAUAGACAGUUAUACCGCUUUCACAUCGCUAACCCGGUAAGGAACCGGCUUUUGAACACACGUCCGACCCAGGUCUGAACAAGCUAUACCCCUUUCACAUUGUAUUUUGGAGCCGUGUUAUUACCGAGUUAUUCCCGAGUUGGUGCCUUUCACACUAAACCCGGUUCACCCAUUUAAAACAGUGUGAUAUCAUUUUAAAUGGACUUUUCUGUAUCACAUUGGUGAGGUUUCAAAGGAAAUAAAAGGAGGGCCUGGGGAGUGCUCUGAGUAGUACAGCAAUCAUGGCCGACAGAGCACAUGUCUCUUUAGACUUUGUGCUAGUCUCAGCUGUACUGCUGUUGGAUUCAGCCUGUGAGAGGAUAUUUGAGCUUCUCACAUUCUGUAGCUUGUUCAGCAGCUAUGUUAGGAGGAGACUGCAGUAUUUUAGAGAGACCGACAUUCUUCGUCGAAAAUACCUGCGCAGGAGGAGAUCGUUUAUAUCAGCUUCUGUGACCACCAACUUAACCUUAACCUCUCUAUACAACAAAGAUUGUGGGCUAGAGAAUGGCAGCAUGGGCAAGAUUUUAUGCAAAGUGUUCUUAACUUUCAGGAUGUUCAGUGGAAGUGUCACUUCAGAAUGUCGCAUCCACUUUUGGGAUUUAAUGACCCCAGCACUCUCUAGACAGACCACAAACUGCAGGUCACCAAUAGAGCCAAGCAGGCGGCUAGCUAUAGCAUUUCGGUGGUACGCCACUCCGUUGAAUAUCGCACAAUUUCUUGCCUCUUUGGUGUGGGGAUAUCUGUACUAUUUGCAACAUUGUACAUGAGGUGACCCGAGCAUUGGUGGACAACCUAUACCACAGAUUUAUUCCUCUGCAGCACGGCCAGCAUUUGGAUGAAACAAUUAAGGGAUUUGUGAAGUGUGGAUAUCUGCAGUGCACAGGCGCAAUCGAUGGUACCCACAUCCCUAUAAUCACACCUCAUGAAAAUCCUGCCGACAAUUACAACAGAGAGGGAUGGCAUUCCAUUGUUUUACAAGCUGUGGUGGAUCAUGUUCUGCCCAGUGUGGUUUUUAAUGCUUAUUGUUUAAAACCCAUUUUAAAAUCUAAUAUAUAUUUUUAUAUUAGCUUCACAGCUAUUCAUCGGUUGGCCAGGAUGGUCACUUGAUGCUCGAGUGCUUGCAAACUUGGAUCUGUACCACCUAGCCGAGGACAAGCAAGGGUGGCUACCUUUUUCCAAGAGAGAAAUCUAGAUUUGUGGACGGAGUGGAAAUCCCGGUACACAUAAUUGGUGAUGCAGCCUACCCAUUAUGACGAUGGCUCAUGAAGGGGUUCAACCAACAUGUCCAGCUGAGCCCAAAUCAAAUUACAUAUAUGCACACCCUGAGCUUGGCAAGAAUGGUGGUAGAAAAUGCCUUUGGACGAUUAAAAGGACGUUGGCGCUGUCUUAUGAAGCGCAAUGAUGUAGACAUUUCUAUCAUGCCUAACAUUGUUGCAGCAUGUUGUAUUCUGCAUAUCCUAUGUGAAUUUCAGAGGGAGUAAUUCCUACCAGAGUGGACAGUGCAGGACUCAGCUGCAUAAACUGCACUUGAUUCUGAGUCCUGUUUGGGUGACCAUUCUGGAAGUGCAGAACAAAUGAGGUCUGCUAUAAUGGCCAACCUUUCCUCAUUACUCCGUUAAGUUUUAUCAGUUUGUAUAUUCAGUUAAUUGUUGUUUCCACAAAAAAUAAACCUGUUUGAUGUUCAGCUACUGUGCUGAUUACAAACGUACAA